AGCCGCCGCGGGAACACCGGCAGCUCUAGUGGUAGCUGUUUUAUUGGGCCUAAAGCGUUCGUAGCCGGUUUGAUAAGUCACUGGUGAAAUCCUGUAGCUUAACUGUGGGAAUUGCUGGUGAUACUGUUGAACUUGAGGUCGGGAGAGGUUAGCGGUACUCCCAGGGUAGAGGUGAAAUUCUGUAAUCCUGGGAGGACCACCUGUGGCGAAGGCGGCUAACUGGAACGAACCUGACGGUGAGGGACGAAAGCUAGGGGCGCGAACCGGAUUAGAUACCCGGGUAGUCCUAGCCGUAAACGAUGCGGACUUGGUGUUGGGAUGGCUUUUGAGCCCGCUCCGGUGCCGAAGGGAAGCUGUUAAGUCCGCCGCCUGGGAAGUACGGUCGCAAGACUGAAACUUAAGGAAUUGGCGGGGGAGCACCACAACGCGUGGAGCCUGCCGGUUUAAUUGGAUUCAACGCCGGACAUCUCACCAGGAGCGACAGCUGUAUGAUUACCAGGCUGAUGACCUUGUUUGACUAGCUGAGAGUAGUGGUGCAUGG
rnacentral:rRNA from 1 species